CUCUCUCCUCCCAUCUCUCUCUCUCCUCCCAUCUCUCUCUCUCUCUCCUCCCAUCUCUCUCUCUCUCCUCCCAUCUCUCUCUCUCUCCUCCCAUCUGUUCUCUCCCCCCCAUUUGGUAGUUCUGCUUAAAGCAGCACGUGAAGUAAACACUGAUACACACUUUCACCAACACACACAAAUGAAGAGUACCCUACACACACACAGUACAUAUCUCCAACCACAUAGUACCAAUAUACACAGUACAUAUCUCCCACCACACAGUACCAAUAUACACAGUACAUAUCUCCAACCACACAGUACCAAUAUACACAGUACAUAUCUCAACCACACAGUACCAAUAUACACAGUACAUAUCUCCAACCACACAGUAUCAAUAUACACAGUACAUAUCUCCAACCACACAGUACCAAUAUACACAGUACAUAUCUCCAACCACACAGUACCAAUAUACACAGUACAUAUCUCUUGCUCAUGUCUCUGUGCUCUCUGUUCCCUCUAGGACCGUUUCUAUUGGCUGUUUUCUGACCCCGCCCCUAACCACCCCCACUAAUAUUCUAUAUCGUGAUGAACUUUUCUUAGUGAUUAUCAGUUUCUCUGUAAACUAGCCAGAAUCUGGAAGGAAAAAAGUAAACAACAAAAAGAAAUCGAACUGUUUUAUUCAAUUGUACUUUAAACUGUGUUUUUUCUUACUAUUUUGAAUGUCUCUUCUAACCCUUCUAUCAAAGCGUUCGUUUUGAGAGGCUUCAGCCAACCAUAGAGAUGUAAACUGAAACCAAUAUAUGAUCUUUCCCCGUAUUUAAUAUUAUGCCAUCGAUCGUCUUUAAGACCACUUCGCCGUUGUUACUAAGUUAAGUAUCGCACGUCAAAACAUUUUAAAAUAAUCAUCGUCUCUGCACUACGUUGGUAUAUUCUGUUUAUCGUCCCUUAUAAAGAUUUAAUGGUCAACUCGUCAAGUGAAGCUGAACUUUGCACAGAGUUAGAAGUCUCACAUUACCACCCUGAGAACCAAAGUUCACCCCCCUCCCCCGUUUCCCUGCCAUGAUGGUAUGCCCCAAACCAAUGACCUAUCAAGAGAUUCUAUGAUGACGUCACAGCACGUGUGAUUGGUUUACCCCUAUAGAGUGGAGUUUUGUGAUGAGUAGAACAGAACUGUGUUGGAUGCUGUAGGACUGUUAUGUGUCAGUACAUGGAUGGAUGAAUAGCUACGCCGACUGACUGGUCCAGACAAGAUGAGCCUGCAGGGAAAAGAGACCAUGAGACAUUCCAAAUGGCACCCUGUUUCAGUCAUGUUUCAUUUCUGAGACUCUUAUGGUCCUCGUCACGAGUAGUGUUCUAGAAAGGGAACAGGAUGUCGUUUGGGAUGCUGCCAGGGAGAUGGCCAGUCAAUUCAGGUCACAUGGCCAGAUCACAUGGCCAGGUCACAUGAUUAUUUUAUGACAUCAUCCAGGUGUCAGUCUAAAUCUCUGUACUACUACAUCACCUUCUCAACCAACUAACAUGUAUACUACAGUACAUCAUGUAAACUAGCAGUAAUGUGAGUACAUCAUGUACUGUAAGCCACGCCCCCCUAAACAACAACAUCCGUAAAGGAUUCCUCUUCAUUAUUAUGAUUAUUGCUGUUAUGAUUAUUAUUGGUAUAAUUUGUCAUUGUUAGCUAAAUGGAAACACCAGAAUGUUGUUGUGGAGAGGACUUUUAUAUUCUUAUGGCUGUGGAGGAAGUGAUGUCAGAGGACAGGAACAGGAAGGAAGGAGAGGCGUGAUGAUGUAAAAUGGUCAUGUUUGUUGGGAAAUGACAUCCAGUGCUGAAAUAAAAUUUAUUCUUAUAGGAAAAAAAAUGAA